rnacentral:rRNA from 1 species
AUUGAACGCUGGCGGCAGGCCUAACACAUGCAAGUCGAGCGGAUGAAGGGAGCUUGCUCCUGGAUUCAGCGGCGGACGGGUGAGUAAUGCCUAGGAAUCUGCCUGGUAGUGGGGGAUAACGUCCGGAAACGGGCGCUAAUACCGCAUACGUCCUGAGGGAGAAAGUGGGGGAUCUUCGGACCUCACGCUAUCAGAUGAGCCUAGGUCGGAUUAGCUAGUUGGUGGGGUAAAGGCCUACCAAGGCGACGAUCCGUAACUGGUCUGAGAGGAUGAUCAGUCACACUGGAACUGGAACACGGUCCAGACUCCUACGGGAGGCAGCAGUGGGGAAUGUUGGACAGUGGGCGAAAGCCUGAUCCAGCCAGGCCGCGUGUGUGAAGAAGGUCUUCGGAUUGUAAAGCACUUUAAGUGGGGAGGAAGGGCAGUAAGUUAAUACCUUGCUGUUUUGACGUUACCAACAGAAUAAGCACCGGCUAACUUCGUG